CCUACGGGAGGCAGCAGUAGGGAAUCUUCCACAAUGGGCGAAAGCCUGAUGGAGCAACGCCGCGUGGGUGAAGAAGGUCUUCGGAUCGUAAAACCCUGUUGUUAGAGAAGAAAGUGCGUGAGAGUAACUGUUCACGUUUCGACGGUAUCUAACCAGAAAGCCACGGCUAACUACGUGCCAGCAGCCGCGGUAAUACGUAGGUGGCAAGCGUUAUCCGGUUUUAUUGGGCGUAAAGGGAACGCAGGCGGUCUUUUAAGUCUGAUGGGAAAGCCUUCGGCUUAACCGGAGUAGUGCAUUGGAAACUGGGAGACUUGAGUGCAGAAGAGGAGAGUGGAACUCCAUGUGUAGCGGUGAAAUGCGUAGAUAUAUGGAAGAACACCAGUGGCGAAAGCGGCUCUCUGGUCUGUAACUGACGCUGAGGUUCGAAAGCGUGGGUAGCAAACAGGAUUAGAUACCCGAGUAGUC
rnacentral:rRNA from 1 species